AUUGUGUAAUGUGUCAUCAAAUCAAGGCUUAAAUAAGGAGCAGAGCUUCCUGUGGUAAAGCAUGAUAUUUUGACCUUUAGUGAGGAGUUCAUAAGCCUGGUGACCUCAGGAGGACCAUAUCACAGUUUGAGGAAUGCUAUCUAGAUUAAGUGAAGUGGACAUGUAAUCGACGUAGCUGACACUUGCCAAAAAUAAAACGGCCAAACACAAGCUUAUUGGCCUUAUCUUUUCCUGAAGGGCCAUUCGACACAUCUGGGUGACCAAAGUUACACAAUGGAAACUUCACAGAUCAACAAUGCUGUUAGUUAGGAAAAAAUAUGCUGACAACAGCAGAAACUCUUAAAGUCCUCCAUUUCUUUUCCAAGAAAUGCUCUGGGAUUUUUAAAAAUAGUCAUAGGGUGUUAGAUUACCCUUGAAGUUUCCCUUUUAUUUUAUUUUUAAGAGUCACUGUUAUUCUGAUAUAUUAAAUGGUGAUUCAUUCCUCAUUGAGAAGACAUGAACACAUGCAAAAGGGACUGUUUCACUGCUCACACAUUUGAUAUUUAAACUAAUGUUUCAAAUUUAUUUCACUUUACUCUAGACUGGACAGGUGGCUUACUGUGUAAAAGUACUCAACAAUUUCACUUAAAUAGCAGAAUAUGCAUUACAAAUCUGCUUUUGUUAUUUCCAGCUGUUUGAAUGAAUGUAAUGCUGUGAACAUUUCAAUCAACAUUCCUCAAAUGCCACAGUGGGCUUUCAAGUCGUUUCUUGUGGCUGUUUAGAAUUAAUAUUUAAUUACUUUUCAUUAUUGAAAUUCCCCAGCUUCUUGUUUGAGGGAUAGGCUCCUCCAGCACCAGUUAUUUCCACACAUCUAGUCCACCCAGAGAGCAUCCAUGCUGGGUAGAGACAGUGAGCCAAUCCACCCUCAUUAUCCCAGCAUGUGUUUUAGAAGCCAUUAAAAUCAGUGCCCUCAAGAUGGCUAUGUCUGUGACAAUAUUGGCUCUUUGUCAAUUUAUUCCCACUUUUUUGCCUUCCUUUUUUUUUUUCCUUUUCUUUUUUUUAAGGUGUUACAGGAAGAAAAGUCCUUGAAGACUGGGACAACAAAUAGAAGCGACAUCCAUCAUCACAAAGGACUAGAGCUCUUAAGGAGAGGAAGAACACACUGGAGGGAAACAACGAGGGAACGAUUAAUUAAAUUAACUGUACAUGCCUCAAUUCAAACCCUGCGAGAAGACAGAAUUAGAGGGCAUAUUUUUUGGUGAGUGUUUAAAUGUGCUGUGCUCAUCUUAUACAGAAUUAUACUGCAUGUCCUCUAGCAUUUCAUAUCAUCUACUAUGUCCAUAACCAAUAACGUUAAACAAUUUAGACCAUGGCAAAUAUCAUGAGACGGGAUCCUUCAUGAAGACUAAACAUUGCCAACUGUUUUCUUUACAACUUACCCACUCAUUUCAGUCUAAUAAUUUAUCCUGAAAAUUAAUUUGACAUAGUUCAGUGACAUCAGGUCCACCUGCCGUCACUGGCUGUGUGAGAACACCACUUCUCAUAUAAAAACUUGUAAAUGGAGGAUCCAUAGAUUAAGUGUGGACUAUUCAGGCUUUGUGCCACCUCAGCUGUUGAUGGAUGAGAAGGAAAUGAGAAAGAUCAUCCGCUUCCCAGCCAUAACACACCACACGGUUCUUCCAUUAACACAUCUGGAUCAUUAAAUUCAAAUAUGGUAACCGGAUUUAGUGUGUAACGACUGUUUUGAUUAGUUGUUCCUGUUUUUCAGUCUCAAUUACAUAUGGGGAAAUUGAUAUCAUGCUUUAAUAUUUGAUAUUAUGGUGUAAUGGUGAAUUUGAUGUUUAUAUUAGCUGCUGAGUGAGGUAUGCGAUAAAUAUGAAUGAAUGAUUUAAAGCUAAAAUUAUGUUUUAGAGAUUACAUUCGGUAACUUACAUUACCGUUCAAAAGUUUGGGUACAAUUUUUCUUUUUUUUCAGGAUUCUUUGACAAAAAAAGUUUAAAUAUUUAAACUUGUAAAAAUAUUUUAAUAUUUUAAAAUGUAAAAGUAUUUACUGACACCUUUGAACAAUUUAAUGCAACUCUGCUGAAUAAAACUGAACAAUUUAAUGCAACUUUGCUGAGUAUUAAUUCCUUUAAAAAUCUAUGUGUAGUGAACAGCAUUUAGGGGAUGCUUUUAAACAACAUUCACUUUUGUUUCUUAUGUGUCAUUUGUCAUUUGUACUAGCGACAUCAGUGUCACAAA
ensembl:lncRNA